ensembl:lncRNA
AAAUUGUACCGAAUAGCUGUGGGUGGCAAAUGGUCAGAAACAGAAUAUUUGCUGUGGGAAGCACUGUAGAUAGCUGGAUUUUUCAUGCCAAGUAGUCCCUGAACGGAAAAAAAAAAAAGGAAAAUGAAUGUGUGUAUAACCUCUAUGCUUCUUUAGGGGCAUAUGCGUCUUUCCAAAUGAUAACCUAAUUUCAAGAAUUCUGAUGUUAUUGUUCUUUUAAGACAAGGAAAAUGUACCAUUGCUUGUACAUAAAACAAUACAUCUGUUUUGUAAAUCUCUCUCUUUCUCUCUUUUAUUUAUUUAUUUAUUUUUAAUGAAAGACCUUAAUGUGUGUUUUAGUGCUAUUCAUAAAUGAAUAAGUAAGAGGGAAAGUGUAUGAUUGUAGCUGUUCUAUAGCCCUAAAUAGAACUUAUGUGUAUUCUUAAAUGACAUCAUGUCUUUCUAAGAGAGGGGAAAAAAAGAGAAAUCCAUCCCAUCAGAUAUUAUUAUCAAUGGCAGAGACAAAGAAUCAGUUCCAAAAAAAACUUUUAAGUAAGACUUUUCUGUGGUUACUGUAAAUAAUAGGAAGAAACAAAAGCAUGAUUACUUAAUUUUCCUGCUCUUACAUCUUUAAUGUAUUUUUCCAUGCUAGAUUGGAGAACUCAUUACCAAGUCUUUGUUCCUACUGUAGACACUCACAAAACGAGAAGGAUUUAUUUCUUAAUCUUCUACUUGGUAAUUUAAAUAGUUUCACCUCUCCCUUAUUCUUUCUUUGUAUGGCAUAUUUUAUAAUUCUUUCUGUAUAGGUUGUUAUUCAUCCCAGUGUGAUAACUGAAUCUUGUUAGAGAGACUAAAAGUAAGAAGUCCCAUCUACCUCUCCCUCACCUCUUUUCACUUCUGUGAAAAAUAACCAUGGGUGUAGUUAAUCUGUUCAAGUUGUUAUUUUUCAUAAAUUAUUUUAAUUAUUAACUUAUCUGUUGCUGAACUGUUGUAAGUUUAGACAAAUAUGUCAUAAUGUGAGGAUAAAAUACGCAGUAUUACAAGAGUACUCUCUUACUAUUCUUACAAAACCUAGUAUUUCAGGUAUUGUCCCUGUUGGUAUGGUCAAAGUAGUCUUCCUUUGUUGUUUGCUCUCGUUAUGGGGAACAAAAAAAAAAAAAAAAAAAAAAAAGGACUGAUCACUACUCAUUUUUUUGAAUGAAAGACACUAAUUUAAGAAACAAUUUCCUGAAUGUUGAUCCCAAAAAACAAGAUGAAAUUUCAUAUUAUUCUGAUGCAGUUGCUUCAACUCAGACAAACAGUGGUAAGGAGCUGUACACCUCAGGAUACUGAUUAUAAAUGGCUUCUGGCUCCUCAUACUGAGCUGUGUGCUUUGGGUCACUGUGAUCCCAUUGGGCAUCUAGCACAGGUUUCAAACUUUUCACUGCAUCUGUCCCCAAAUUUGAGAUUAUAAGGCAACAUGUUGCAGUUACAUAGCCUAAAAAUCUUAAU